GGGCCCCGCGGGCUGGCGGGGGGCGGCGGCGGCUCCUCGCUGAGGGGAAGGAGGGACGGGGAGGACGACUGCCCUACCCUCCGGAGCACUGGGAAGAUAAAAGACUUUAAUGUAGAGCAGAGCCGUUUAUUUCCCCCCUGGAAACGCCUACAUGCUCUUACGACUGGCGAUGAGCUCUGGUUUGUAAAGCGUUAGACACCUGACACGCUAACCGCAAGCACAGAACAGACGCACAGCUGCCGUCCCGCGAAGCUCGCCCUGCGGCGAGUAACGCGCCGUAGCUACAGUCCCCGCCCGCGCUGGGAGCUGAGGGUUCUUUUCUUGCAUCCCACUAUUCUCUGAACAAGAAUCUUCAUCUCCAUCUCUAGGAUGGCCUUCAAGACUGUGCCUGAUGCCGUAAGCAAAAUAAAUGAAGAAGCCUUCCAAAAGAAAAAAAAAAGUUAAUAGGGUUUUCAGGGCUCUGGAUUUAUACAUCUUCGGAGGCAUGCUGUUGUUUUGACAAGAAAUAUCAGCUGGCUUUUAUUAAAACAAAGAGUUAUUCCAGAUAUUUAAAGGAAGAGAAUUGAAGGAUCUGAGAGAGCAACCGUCAAGCUUAACAUAAAAGGUGACUGAAAUGAAUUGAAUACCUACCAAGUGCCAUCCAGAAGCUAAAUCUGAUCCAAGUUUCUCCACUUAAUUGUACCAUCAAAUAAAUAUUCACCAGAAUACUGAAUGAUGGCAAAAAUGGCAACAGUGGAACCUAAGGGGAAAUAUAUAAUAAUAUGUUUGUAGUAUUACAUAUUAUUUCUUACAAGUUUCAACUAUUAAUGUCACACUUGAGUUAUACAACAUAAACUAGAGGUGGCACACCUACUCACUAAAAAAGAUGUGGGAAAUUUUCUUACUGAAAUAAGUAAACAGUGAAAUUUUCUCUUUG